rnacentral:piRNA from 1 species
UGGAUUAACUGAAAACUGAGUAAUGACUGAA